rnacentral:lncRNA from 1 species
AUCUGUUUCCUCCCCUGUGGUCCUGGACAUGGUCCCCAACCCCUGUCGCAGAACUUUGAAGUAUCUGCCUAGCUACAAGCGAAUGAACAUCUGGAACAUAUGGCAAUUCCUAGGCCUUCUUCACCUGGACAAAGAACAUCUGGACACUGGUGGUUGGCCUGGAGGGUUCCCUUCGAUCCCAAGUUCUGUCCAGCACGCUACAGAGUCAUUCUUGUGAAGCAAUUUGUAUCACUUACAAAGAAGAGAAGCAAGGACAGUGAGGCUGGAGGCUGAGGACUCCCUAGACUGGACGGGAAGGGGUCUGGCCCUGUGACCCUGUGCCCCCACUGGCUUUGUUGGGUGGCUAAGC